GUGUUCGCUUUGGCAGCACAUACAUUUAAAUUGGGAUGAUACAGAGAUUAUUAGCAAGGCCCCUGUGCAAGGAUGAUGACACACAUAUCCGCAAAGCAUUCCAUAUUUGG
rfam:Otolemur garnettii contig077009, whole genome shotgun sequence.